UUAUGACGCCGACAUUACUCACACAGAUGCAUGUAUAAAAUAUUGAUAUUAAAACUGAUUUAUUAAAUUCGAUUGAUAAGUGAAGAUUAAAAAUGUAGCUAAUUUAGAUGUUUAAAUUUAGCUCAAAUCAAAUCAAUCUGAAAGACUGAAACCGUCCUGGUAAAACAUAUUACAAAGAGGAUUAUUUUAGCCUAUAAAGCCCAGUCGUAAUCGUAUAGGUCCCAAACAAUGGCGAAGUUUUAUUAUGUUGUUUCUUCGUUGGUAGCUAAAGCUAUACAAAGCCUACAAAGGUAGUUUGCAAAAUUGGAUGGUUGAACUUUUUUGCCAGGAUUUGACGCCGGUUUUUCAGAAUUAGAGAGCGUCACAGAGAGGGUAACAUUUUUUCAAAAGAGCUGAACAAAAAUUUUCUAACAGAUGAAACCGUUUUUGAAGUUUAAUUAGCGGCUAAAGGCUAUACCCACCUAGUCUGAAGAAUACGGUGCAAUCUUAAUAGCAGCAAACCUAAAAACAGAGCUAAAUUUCGGAUGCCAAUAAGAGAAACGAGCAAUUCGUGUUUCAAUAAAUAAUUGCAAGAUUAAACCAGAAGGAAUACGUAGGCAAGACCAUUGUAACUUUCAACUAAUUUAAUAAACGAAUUAAAGAGCAAACGAGAUAAUAGAAUACGUACAUAGGUAUAUACAAGAGGCAAUUUAUCUAACUACGAGUAUUACCUAUUAGAUAAAUUAAAAAAAAAAAAUUCAAACUAUCAGAGAUUUUGUUGAAUAAAUUGAGGAGUAAAAAUAUCACUUCUAAUAAGCCUACACGUUGAAAAAAUGAAAUACCUAAUCAAAAAAAAUAGGUACCAUAUGAAGUACAAUUUACUCCCAAUUAAUUAACUCAUUUUUCAAUCUGAAUUAGGCUUUCCUGCAUUUAUACUUAUCUAUGAUAAGAUUGAUGUUUCUAGAUCUUAGAUAGAUGUUCAAGUCAUCUGCAAAAAUCCUCAAAGAGCAUGGUUUUGUUAUCUAUUAUAAUAUUACAAAAUAUACAUAUCACCAAUUUGUAUCAGAAACAGGAUUGCGAGCAAGGAACAGGCCCUUGAGAAUGAGAAACCCCAUUUUCUAAUUCAAAAGAUCUUGAGUAGGUACCUAUGUGUCAUCUAGGCGUACUCUGAAUGUACGAGUACAGUUUGUUAGAAAAUUUUGAAUAAAGUAAGCCAGAUUUACCCCACCUCCUUGCUCUUAAAUGAGAGGACGAAUGAUGAAAGUGAAAUGGUAUACAAUCUUAUUUUAUUAGUAAAGUGAUUAAUCUAUAGAUAACAUCUGAAUUCCAAUGAAAUCAACCACGAUUAGCCAAUGACAUCGAUUGGAAUUACCUACUUAGCUUAUCUACUUUCAUU